rnacentral:pre_miRNA from 1 species
UAGCUACUCACUCUGUCCAACAAAAUAUGUCUCAAGUUUGUUAAAAUUUGGAUCUAUGUAGAUAUGACUUAGUGUAUAAAUGCAUUCAAAUUUAGUCAAAAUUGAAACAUCUUUUGUUAGACUGAGGAAGUACAUU